rnacentral:rRNA from 1 species
GAUAGGCAUGACAUCACUACGGCGAGUGUGCGGCUUUGCUUUAUUGCUUAUCCGGCACUUCCCGCGUUCGAGUUGUCAUUUCCUGAAGGUAACUUCUUGCGUCGGUUCUUGACUUGGUUCCUUGGAACAGGACGUCACAGAGGGUGAGAAUCCCGUGCGAUGAGAUGCCCAAUUCUAUGUAAAGUGCUUUCGAAGAGUCGAGUUGUUUGGGAAUGCAGCUCUAAGUGGGUGGUAAAUUCCAUCUAAAGCUAAAUAUUGGCGAGAGACCGAUAGCGAACAAGUACAGUGAUGGAAAGAUGAAAAGAACUUUGAAAAGAGAGUGAAAAAGUACGUGAAAUUGUUGAAAGGGAAGGGCUUGAGAUCAGACUUGGUAUUUUGCGAUCCUUUCCUUCUUGGUUGGGUUCCUCGCAGCUUACUGGGCCAGCAUCGGUUUGGAUGGUAGGAUAAUGACUAAGGAAUGUGGCUCUACUUCGGUGGAGUGUUAUAGCCUUGGUUGAUACUGCCUGUCUAGACCGAGGACUGCGUCUUUUGACUAGGAUGUUGGCAUAAUGAUCUUAAGCCACCCGUCUUGACCAAACGGACCA